ensembl:misc_RNA
UGGAUGAUGUGGUGAAAGCUCUCCUUUCCUUUUCAAGUGACUUCAGCCCCUAUGUAGCCAGGAGGGACCUCCUCUUGAGAUGAAAGGGUAGUUCAUUCUCCAGGCCCAUUCUGUUCUUGGCUGCU